UUCCUUCUCUUAUGACUCAGGUUAUUGACAGCUGGGAAAAGGCACACACCUCUGACUGAUGGUGACCCAAAAAGAAAUCAUAGAGAAGCAAAUUUGGCUCCACUGGUUUGAUUUUUCCUUCCUUCCUCCUUACACAUCCAAGGAGGUUUUGCUCUGGAAAUCUCUUGCUAUGGAAUGCCUAACAAACCUGAACCAGGAAACCCUUUACCAACAGGAAGUGACCCAGUCUUUCUGCAUGGCAGGUGGCCACGCUGCCACCUGCUCCCUUCCUGUUAGUCAUGACUCCAAGGGUCUUGACAGAGGGUAGUGACAGGCAACUGGAGAUCUGGAAAGAAAAUCUCUCUUCAAAGGUUUGCUGUGUUGCAAACGCCAGGGGACAUCAGUCACAGAGACCUGAAUGUACACAGCACCCCCUGGAGUUGGCAAUGCGGAGGCUCUGGCUGUUGAUCCCAAAGAAGAUUUAAAUUGCAGUCCAUUAUAUUUUUCUCUCAGACUUCUGUUUCUUUGAAUAUUCCAAAUAGAUUAAAAUAUAAUCUGGAAUCUUAAGUGCCUUAGUCUUAUUUAGGUAACAAUACUAUCUAAGAAAAACUCUAGAAGAAUUCACAACAAAUUGCUAACUAUAGUUAUCUCUGGCAGAGGAAGUAGCAUGGGAAAGGCGUGGGAAAAUUUUUUACUUUGACUUUUUUUUCACCUGUGUACUUAUGUAUAAUUUGUGUGGAAUAAAUAAAAUAAUAAAUAUACAUGAUAAAAUUUCAAAUAAAAGUUAAAAAAAUUACGGGGCACUCCUCCUUGAGCCUAUAUGAUGGUUUUGAAAUACUAUUCAAAAAGAACCAGGACUUCUUAGAGAAAUGACUGAGUGCAGGUCUCGGGCAGGAAAUGUACAAGAUGAGCCUGGCACCUCUUAUUAAUACCACAUAGCAAGAAAGGUACGAAGAUGACUAGGGCCAUGGCAAAAGGACUCAUGAACUAACUUGAAGAGGCUUCUACUGACCAAAGACAGAGCAACUUAAGCAUCAAUAAAGAUAAUAACUGCAAUGGCUAUGAUGAAAUACAUUAUGAAUGCAUAAAGUUCAUACUAAUGUUAAACAAAAUGAAAAUUAAUUGGUCAUACUGGGUAGAUGAUGGGGAACUAACAAAUUAUUUUAAAAAUUGGUAAAUCCAGGCAAAGAAUCUAGCAUUUAUUGUAACUUUUUUUUUUUUUUUUGAGACAGAGUUUUGCUCUUGUU
rnacentral:lncRNA from 1 species